rnacentral:rRNA from 1 species
AUCAACGCUGGCGGCGCGCUUAACACAUGCAAGUCGCACGAGAAAGGGAGCAAUCCUAAGUAAAGUGGCGCACGGGUGAGUAACACGUGGAUCAUCUACCUUUUAGUGGGGAAUACCUCUGGGAAACCGGAGACAAUACCGCAUAAGCCCGCAAGGGGAAAGCAGCAAUGCGCUGAAAGAGGAGUCCGCGGCCGAUUAGCUAGUUGGCGGGGUAACGGCCCACCAAGGCGAAGAUCGGUAGCCGGCCUGAGAGGGCACACGGCCACACUGGCACUGAAACACGGGCCAGACUCCUACGGGAGGCAGCAGUGGGGAAUCUUGCACAAUGGGCGAAAGCCUGAUGCAGCGACGCCGCGUGAGCGACGAAGCCCUUCGGGGCGUAAAGCUCUUUCGACGGGAACGAUAAUGACGGUACCCGGAGAAGAAAGCUGCGGCUAACUACGUGCCAAGCAGCCGCGGUAAUACGUAGGCAGCGAGCGUUGUUCGGAAUAUUACUGGGCGUAAAGAGUGUGUAGGCGGUUGCUCCCAGUCUGUUGUGAAAUCUCCCGGCUUAACUGGGAGGGGUGCAGCGGAAACUAGAGUGCUAGAGGGUGGGAGAGGUAAGCGGAAUUCCUGGUGUAGCGGUGAAAUGCGUAGAUAUCAGGAGGAACACCUGUGGUGUAGACAGCUUACCGGACCACUUCUGACGCUGAGACACGAAAGCGUGGGGUAGCAAACAGGAUUAGAUACCCUGGUAGUCCACGCCCUAAACGAUGCAUACUUGGUGUGAGCGAUUCAUUUCGUUCGUGCCGGAGCUAACGCGUUAAGUAUGCCGCCUGGGGAGUACGGUCGCAAGGCUGAAACUCAAAGGAAUUGACGGGGGCCCGCACAAGCGGUGGAGCAUGUGGUUCAAUUCGACCGCAACGCGAAGAACCUUACCUGGGCUCGAACGGCUUUGGAUCAUCUUUGGAAACAGAGACUUCUCGCAAGAGACCGGAGUCGAGGUGCUGCAUGGCUGUCGUCAGCCCGUGUCGUGAGAUGUUGGGUUAAGUCCCGCAACGAGCGCAACCCUUGUCCUGUGUUGCCACUCCCGUAAGGGAAGCACUCUCAGGAGACCGCCAGCGAUAAGUUGGAGGAAGGUGGGGAUGAUGUCAAGUCAUCAUGGCCUUUAUGUCCAGGGCUACACACGUGCUACAAUGGACGGUACAAAGUGCUGCAAACCCGCGAGGGGGAGCCAAUCGCAAAAAAACCGUUCUCAGUUCGGAUCGCAGGCUGCAACUCGCCUGCGUGAAGCUGGAAUCGCUAGUAAUGGCGUAUCAGAACGAUGCCGUGAAUACGUUCCCGGGCCUUGUACACACCGCCCGUCACAUCACGAAAGUGGAUUGUACUAGAAGUCCUAAUCAAACAGGCCCAAGGUGUGAUUCAUGAUUGGGGUG